UUCGGAUUGUAGUCUGCAACCCGACUACAUGAAGCUGGAAUCGCUAGUAAUCGCAGAUCAGAAUGCUGCGGUGAAUACGUUCCCGGGUCUUGUACACACCGCCCGUCACACCAUGGGAGCCGGGAAUGCCCGAAGUCGGUGACCCAACCGUAAGGAGGGAGCCGCCGAAGGCAGGCCUGGUAACUGGGGUGAAGUCGUAACAAGGUAAC
rnacentral:rRNA from 1 species